CAAUUCCCAAUUAAUGAAUUUGCUGAGUAGUUCCUCCCCAAGGAGAGUCAGUCUGGCAGAGACAUUCAGCUCUAGCUGAGGCCAGGCUAGAUCUGUUGGACCAGAGUCGACCUGCAGACCUGUGAACAUGAGCAUAAGUGUUCGCUGAGAGCCAAGGAGUUUUGGUGUGGUUUGUUACAAAGCUUUGUCCAGGCAGCAGCUGACUGAUUCCUGCCCUGGCAGAAAACUGGAGCACCCAUCUCUUUAUGUAGAAGUGAGGGUUCAUUGAAGUAUGAAGCCAGUGUCCACAUCCUGCUCACAUUUGGGACAUCUGUGAGGCAGGGUGCCUCCUUUUUGUCCCUCCAAGAGGACAGUUGGGGGACUUGGCCUCUGGCCGCCUCAAGUUGGGUCAGCACCUGCUGGGCCUCAUCCUGGUUCAUCGUGCAUCAAUGGGAGCGCACCUGGGUUCUGCUGACAUGUGAGAGCUUCUUCACCGAGGGGUUCAGAAAAGUGUGCUCAUGGCCUGUAGAUCUGGAUUCAAAGGGAGAUGAGAAAAAUAGGAACUGAGCCCGUGGCUUGCCUCACCCACUUCCUGAGCCUGCGCAAGGGACAAGACUUUCCUGUGUGGCCUUCUUACGGCAGUCCACAGGGAAGUGGCCUCAUUUUCUGUGUCUGUCCUGCCCAGCGCCCCCACUCUCCUGUGCUGGUCCCAGGCCAUCCCUUAGCCAGAGUGCAGAACUCCAGACCCCCAAUAUUCUCUCAUAUCCUCAGAAUCUUCAGCUUCCAUCCAUGGAUGUUGGCUGAAUCCUGAGUGGGGUCGUAGAAAGAUCUGGUCCUGUGAGUAGGGGGGCGAGGAGGAAGGCAGGGACUUCAGCUGGGCUGUCUACAACCUGAGUCUAAAACACCUAAAGACAAGCACAACUUGCCCCCGCUAGGACGAAUUUCUUGCUCCAGACCGCCUCACUGCAUCUCUAGGGCCAUGUGUAUUCCUGCUAUUUGGCCACAUUCCUUGAGAAAAA
rnacentral:lncRNA from 1 species